CGGCGAACGGGUGAGUAACACGUGGGUGAUCUGCCCUGCACUUCGGGAUAAGCCUGGGAAACUGGGUCUAAUACCGGAUAGGACGAUGGUUUGGAUGCCAUUGUGGAAAGUUUUUCGGUGUGGGAUGAGCUCGCGGCCUAUCAGCUUGUUGGCGGGGUAAUGGCCUACCAAGGCGUCGACGGGUAGCCGGCCUGAGAGGGUGUACGGCCACAUUGGGACUGAGAUACGGCCCAG
rnacentral:rRNA from 1 species